rnacentral:rRNA from 1 species
GUGGGGAAUAUUGGACAAUGGGCGAAAGCCUGAUCCAGCCAUGCCGCGUGUGUGAAGAAGGUCUUCGGAUUGUAAAGCACUUUAAGUUGGGAGGAAGGGCAGUAAGUUAAUACCUUGCUGUUUUGACGUUACCGACAGAAUAAGCACCGGCUAACUUCGUGCCAGCAGCCGCGGUAAUACGGAGGGGGCUAGCGUUGUUCGGAAUUACUGGGCGUAAAGCGCGCGUAGGUGGUUUUGUAAGUUGGAGGUGAAAUCCCCGGGCUCAACCUGGGAACUGCCUCCAAAACUGCAUGACUAGAGUACGGUAGAGGGUAGUGGAAUUUCCUGUGUAGCGGUGAAAUGCGUAGAUAUAGGAAGGAACACCAGUGGCGAAGGCGACUACCUGGACUGAUACUGACACUGAGGUGCGAAAGCGUGGGGAGCAAACAGGAUUAGAAACCCCAGUAGUCC